GACGAACGCUGGCGGCGUGCCUAAUACAUGCAAGUAGAACGCUGAAGCUUGGUGCUUGCACCGAGCGGAUGAGUUGCGAACGGGUGAGUAACGCGUAGGUAACCUGCCUGGUAGCGGGGGAUAACUAUUGGAAACGAUAGCUAAUACCGCAUAAGAGUAGAUGUUGCAUGACAUUUGCUUAAAAGGUGCAAUUGCAUCACUACCAGAUGGACCUGCGUUGUAUUAGCUAGUUGGUGAGGUAACGGCUCACCAAGGCAACGAUACAUAGCCGACCUGAGAGGGUGAGCGGCCACACUGGGACGGAGACACGGCCCAGACUCCUACGGGAGGCAGCAGUAGGGAAUCUUCGGCAAUGGACGGAAGUCUGACCGAGCAACGCCGCGUGAGUGAAGAAGGUUUUCGGAUCGUAAAGCUCUGUUGUAAGAGAAGAACGAGUGUGAGAGUGGAAAGUUCACACUGUGACGGUAUCUUACCAGAAAGGGACGGCUAACUACGUG
rnacentral:rRNA from 1 species